AGAACGAACGCUGGCGGCAUGCCUAACACAUGCAAGUCGAACGCUUCCGGGGCUUCGGUCGCGGAGGAGUGGCGCACGGGUGAGUAGCGCGUGGGAACCUGCCCUGUUGUGGGGGAUAACCGAGGGAAACUUCGGCUAAUACCGCAUACGCCCCGGGACUUGGUCUUCGGAUUAGGUCUGGGGGGAAAGAUUGAUCGCAGCAGGAGGGGCCCGCGUCGGAUUAGCUGGUUGGUGGGGUAACGGCUCACCAAGGCGACGACGGGUA
rnacentral:rRNA from 1 species